GCUCCUGGAUGACAAAGGACACACAGGUCACUGGUUUUGUUUCAUGUCUUCACAUUGGAUAAUACAGGUGAUGAAGUGUCCAUUAGCAGCCUCUAACGAUGACUCGCUCUCCAAUAUCUGGUGUUUAAUCAAGUCUUAAUCAGAUGUCACCCGUGCACAAUUGAGAAGAAAAGAGCCAGGCUGUGUGAGCGGUGUGAGCCAGCUCCGGCGUGCCAUUGUGACCCCUGAGUUGGAAGUGGACACCCCAGUUUUCUCAACGACUCCAUUAACUAUAAAAAUUUCAUCAAUCCCUGAGCUUCUAUGUCAACUUACACAAACAGAUCAACCUUUGGAGGCAUCUUGGCAGUGCCCUAGCUCCUCAGCAAGGAAAGAGAGGAAAUCAUAGUGCUUCGAUCAAAGAGGAGCUUCUGAGCACGUGAGUGGGCCACGCGUGUGGAAGAAGCCAUGUGAAGCUGCGUGACCACUGCAGGUGGCUUCGUGGAGGAUUGGCAGCUACUGGUGCGGCUUCCACAUCAAGGCACACACACUUUGGGAGAGAGUACAGGAGCAAGAGCCAAGACCACAGGUUCUGCCCUAGCUCAGCUCUCUUAGCCUCAGCUUCCACAUCUGCUAAAUAAGGGAAAGACUCUUGCCUGUGGUACGGAGCUGGAGGAAGGGCUAGCAGAUGAAAACAUGUGGAUGUCGGGCUGUUUCACCAUUACAGAGAAAGAACUGGCCAGUUUCUUUCCCAUCUUUGGUAGGUAGGUAGAGACCUCACCUCGCUCGUCUGACCAUGUCAGGUACAUUCUGAGGAGAGUACAAAACAGCUCACUCCCAUGAGCGAACCAACAGAGACUGGACACCAAAGCCAGAGGUCAGGCGCAUCUGAGCAACAUUUCCCUUUCUCAGGCUGGAAAGAGGCUUCUGGACCUCUGCUUAUUGUCCACCAAUACCCCUAACUUUUUAAUGUCGCUCAUCCUCCAUCACCCCCUCCCUUCCUCACUUCCUGCCUUACCCAGCUUAGAUUCCAUGACCCAUUAUUGAAAUCAGCUUCUGUGCUCUCCUGUCAGAGUCCCCACCCCGGAAGCCCUCCUUACACUCAAGCUGGUGAGCAUGGUAAGGGGGACUUCGCAUGUGGACUAAGCUUCCUGCCUGUCUAUGUUGACUCCUCCAGCAGGUGUUGACCAUUCCCCAGCAAUGCCCACUAGGCCUACUAUUGUAUUGCCUUCCUCCCUCCUUCUAAAAGACCAUUCCAUCCCUUCUCUUGUCUCUUCUCAUCCCCCUCUUCUCUGCCAGUAACUGUCUUAUUCUUCAAAAAGGAAAAGGAGGCAAUAAACCAGAGGCUUUCCACCACCACCUCACUUCUAUCUGGACCCACACUCCCCACUUUCCUUCUGUUUCUGUGGUUCAAGUGGUCCUACUCCAAGGAAAAGGAUAACCUCUGCACCUGUGCUCUGAACUCAAGGGCCUCACUCCUGUAUCUUUUUCCUUUAUCUCCCUGUCUACUGGACAAUUGAAUCACACACACAUUUCCAUAUCUCUAUCCUUCAAAAACAACUCUCUGCCAGGGACCCACAUCCCCCUGUAGCUACAGCUCCAUUUUUCUGUUCCCCAAAACAGCAGGAAGACUUACUUAUAGCUCUCCCUUCACAGUGUGUCCUUAACCUAUCUAACUGGACUUCCCUACCCCUACAUUGAGUCUGCUCUUAUUUAGAACACCAGUAACCUCCAUAUGCCCAAACUCAAUGGUCACGUCUCUGUUCUUACCUUACAUGAUCUCUUAGCAUUCUCUACAGCUGUCCCUUCCUCUUUCCUUGGGUUCAUGGUACAUUUCUCUCCUGAAUGCCCAUCAGCCUCACUAGGUGUAUCUUUUCUGCCUCUUGCUGGCCCCUUCUCCUCUUCUUGACCUCCAGAUGUUAAAAUGCCCCAGAGCCCUAUCUUUGACCCAUUCCUUUCUUCCAGCUAUACUUUUUCCUAAGUGAUGUCAUUCUGUAGCUUCAAAUAACAUCCAAAUGCUGAUUAUUCCCAGCUGUAUAUCCCACACUCUGGCUCUCCUUGGAACUGCAGACUCAUAUACCCAGUCUUACUUGACACAUCUUACUGAUGUCCAUCUCAAACCUGACAUGUGCUGAAAAGAACGUUUGAUUCCUUUCUCUCUCCUAUCAUCCCUAGGAAUGCUCUACUUUCAAUCUUCCACCACCCACCCAUUACUCAAGGCAGCAAGAUAGCCCUUGCUCCUGUCUUUUUUAUCAUUCCCAUGUGCAUUCCAUCAACAAGUCCCCUGCCUCUAGCCUAAAGUGGUCACUUUUCUUUACCUCCACUGCCACCACCUUUGCCACUAUCCAUGCCACAGUACAUCCCUGGAGCACUGAAAUAGCCUCCUUAAUGUGUCUCUGCUUACACUCUUGCUGCCUACAAACCAUUCUUAUCCAUACUCCAUAGAAAAUACUUCUCUUUUGCAUCAAGUUCUCCCAAAUGCCUCCAACCACCAUUAGAAAAAAAAAAAAUCAACUUUGUUUUCCUAGUUUACAAAUCCUACAUGAUCUGGCCCAGCUCAGCAUAGGACUUGGGAGCUAAAUCUCAUCAGGUUGACUGAUAAAAGAUCCAAGGGGUUCUUUGGAUUGAAGACACUUGUGGUGUGAGUGUGUUCAAGCUAGGUUCUAGGAGGAAAGGCCUGGGAAAUGUUGCAAUCAUGGGAAAGCAGUGAGGGGAAGAAGGGAAGAGAGGGCACCUCUCUUUAUAACCAGACUCCAACUUGGAGAAGGUCCCAUUCCUUAGGGCAGCCUAAUUGCCAAGACAGUAUCAUCAGCAACAGGGCCAUAGAGGACCUGAGCAGUAGAGGAUUGCGUUCUUCCAAAGGCAGAGCCUGGGGUCUGCUAGAAUGCCCCUGGUUGGCCUUUGGGGAGAGGUAGAGCUGGGGGUUACGGAGAGGGAAGAAGAGGAAGAAUAGCUGCCAUUUUGCAAAACUCAAUAGAAUGCCUCCAGCUGGGGCCAAGCAGAAGGAAUAGUGGCUAAGCCAUGGAAGCGGAGCUGGGAAUAACGUGCCCUUGGCUGACAUGGCUGGGAUGGGGAACCUUGGAACCCUGUAUACAGUCCUCCAAAUAGGGCUUCAGCUGGGCUCCACCAUCCCAAGGCCAAGUGUUUGUACUCUUCCCUCUUAUGUCAGUCUGUACCACCCAAACAAGAAAGUGCAAGCCCCCUCACCCCCUCCAUCCACGGGAAAAUAUGUGGAGGUAUGUCUUACUGUUGUCCAAGUGAUUGGCUUUAAUGAUCUUCUCUGAGUAGUCAGAAAUACUGGAACAUUCGAUCUAGAAAGAGCACAGAACAAAGGAGCGAGGCAUAAAAAAAGAUCAUAGCAUGUCUAGCACCAAUUUACCUGAUGGAGGUGCUGAGCCUAAGGGGGUACAGUGACCUGCCCACAGCCAUAUCAUUACUUUGUGACAAAUUGAAAACUGCAGAACAGCCCUCCUGAUCAGCAGGCCAGUGGCUCUUGCAUUUGAAUCUGUCUGCUUUUGUCAUGAGGGUGACUCUCAGCCACUGCUUCACAAUGGAGGGCCUGGCCUCAAGUUGGGAGACUCAGGAGAAGCUGGCAGGCCUCCUCCUGGCCAGAGGAGAAUGUGAUGAGAUCCUCCCGGAGGAGGACAUGGGAAGGCAAGCCGUAGCCAGAGCUGCUGUGAGUAUCCAGGGACCUUACUCUCCUUACUUCCCACCUCCCAAUUCCAGGAUAGAGAAAUGCCACAUCACGGCCUCAAGGCCAAUCUUGAGACUCAUCCCACCAUACAGGUCACACACUAACUCUCAUCCCUUCUGUGAUGCCCACCUUUGAGAUAAUUAAUUCUUUUAAUCUCCAAGUCUUUCCAAACUCCCCAAAUCUCCUAACCGAAGGGCCAAGAUAUGUGAGAAAUGAGCUGACCAGCAGCUGAGAGGGUGCCUUGUGGGAAUAGUGGAAGAUCAAGCCCCAGCCUGGGGCAUGUAUCAGGGGAGGGCCAGAGGAUGCUGGAGCCAGAGAGGCAGCUGUUAACAGCUGCUCUCACCUCCUCAGCUGGCCCCCACAGAGGCUGCCACUCACCUCCACACUCCGGACCCCCCUCAGACUGUCCCUAGGGCCUCCGGGAGAGUAUUUGCAUUGGAGCACUGGAGGGAGCUGCUUGCAGCCUCCAUCAAAGCCUUGGGGAGGGGUAAGGGCGCCUGCAGGGUCAGGAAGCAUGGUUCCAUCAGAGAAGAUAGACCUCCACCAGGCUCAGAGCCCAAGAGGAUGGGCCCUUUCCUGUGGCCUCUGAUCCCACUUUCUCUGGGACUGUGCUGCUCCAAUUCUUCCCCCUGCUCGCCAUGUUGGCAUCCAUCUGCAAGAGGCUGUGGAGUUUCACAGUGAGGAAAGCAUGAUCUGGAGCCAGGCAGCCUGGAUUCCCAUUCAGCCUUGACCACUCUCCAAUUGUGCCUCAGUUUCCUCAUAAGUGAGGAAAGAGUCCCUGUUUUACUUGGUCAUUGGGAGAAUUAAAUAAGCCAAAGCAUGUGAACCACUCAGAGCAGAGGGCCCCCAAGCCCCAGCAUCCUGGCGGCCUUCUUUCCUCUUUUCCCAUCUCGCUUUCCCUUUCCCCUUUUCUCCUCUCUUCCUCCCUCCUUCCUUCCCUCCCUUCCUCUCUUCCCCUUUCUCCUUCUCUCUCUCCUCUCCUCCUUUUCUCCUUCUCUCCCUCUUUCUCCCUGGCUCUUUCUUUCUGGAGAAGAGCAGCGGGUAGAAGAGGGAACCUGGAACAGGAGAAACUGUGAAAUGAGCCAUCAGGAAAGAGGCCCAGCUAAAUGUGGGAGCUGUUUAUAAAAGAGCUGUGACAGCAAAAGACCGUGAAGCAGACAGAUUGGGACAGUUGGGAUAGUCACCACAGCUGGAAGGCGCCGAGUGGGCGCCUCCUGACAGCGCCUUAGUAGGAGGAAGCCGCUGGCCACUUGGAAACCAGUGAAGGGCAGCCCAGCUACCCAUGCCCCAGCCAGAUGGGGGCGGAGAGGCCUCAGAGAUGGUGCUGGGAAGGAAAGCACGGGGAUGGCCAGAAAAAUCAAGUCCCCUCCAGAGGCUCUUUGACCUCAUUGGACAUGGAAUCUGUCCCUUGCUGGGAAGCCUCCCUUUUGGUGAGGAAGGCACAGUGAAGGAUAGUUGGAAGGUGGAGAGGGCAGGACUUGACUUGGGGCAUCUGGGUUGGCCUAUCAACUUAGCGAGUGCCUCAGCUGAGUACCCCAUAGCUUUUCCAGUCAAGUCUGUGGUGGAUAUGCCUUGAGGAUGGCCUGCGUUUCUAGAAGACCCUCUACAGCCAAGGCCCAGACACUUUCUAAGCCAGGCAUGGAGGAGGAACACUGUCCCUGCUGGGGACUCAGGGAUAGGCCUCUGAGGCCAAGUGAGGGGUAGCCAAGGGGAUGUGGAAGCUCUGGGGCUGUCAGCACAGGCUACAGGACAAUGCAGCUAAAUGCACAGGGAACAAAGCCCCACCAAGAGCUGCUCAGCUCCCAUGGGUCUCUGCAAACAGCUGUCUCAUGCACAUGCUGGGAGCUAAAUUGUAGUGUGUCUUAAAUUUUGAUCAAGACUAAUUCCCAUAUUCCAGCCUUGGACCCUCUGCAUUUUGCAAAUAUCAGCCAGCCACUCAGGGGCUCUUCUUUUUUAGGGUUUCUUCCCAGCUCCAGACCCCCCAGCCUCCCUGUCAUCAGGCAGUACACAGCUGUGUAGUGGGAGCCAGAGGAAAGCUGGGAGGCUUCCCAGAGGGUCAGCCUCCAUUUCCAUCUGGAGGGGCUGCAGCAGCCAGAGUAGCAGAAUUUAAACCUACCAACUUGCCUUUUAAAGGACAAAGGAAGGAGAUUAUCUUGUUCUCAUCCCCUAGGGCCUCAUCCCAACUAUAUUCAUAUUAGACACUGGGCAUUAGUCAUAUGCCAGGCCCUGUUCUAAGCAUUUUACAUAUGUAUUAAACUCAUUAAUUCUAGACGAUCACUCCAUGGGUGAGGUAUUGUUAUUAUGGCCAUUUUAGAGAUGAGGAAAGUGAGGUACAGUCACACAGAGUAGAGAUUCAAGCCAAAGCUCACACAUAUAACCACACUGCACUGCUUCUCAAGCUGAUGGUAGGACUAAGUGUUCUAAGGUAAUCAUGACCGGAAUGAUUUCCAGAAAGUCAAAAAUCCUCUGUAAAUGUCAGCAUUUGUCAGGGCAAGGAGCCAGGACCAAUGCCAUGGGAGCUUGCCCCCACCUCUUGAGAAUACAUUUAAUUUUCUUUACUUGUCCUCGAGGGUAUGGCCCCAGCAAGGGAUGGCCCUGGGUUUGCACUUGUAGGAAGGACAGAAGAAGAUGUAAGGCAAUGAGGAGCUGGUUCUAUAGAAGCCAGUGAGCAGGGGAACCCCUGGGUGGCUCAGCAGUUGAGCAUCUGCCUUCGGCUCAGGGUGUGAUCCCGGGUCCUCGGAUCGAGUCCCAUGUCGGGCUCCCUACAUGGAGCCUGCUUCUCCCUCUGCCUGUGUCUCUGCCUCUCUCUCUCUCUAUGUCUCUCAUGAAUAAAUAAAUAAAUAAAUAAAUCUUAAAAAAAAAAAACUUAAAAAAAAAAAAAAGAAGCCAAUGGGCAGGAAGGGAGUGGCAUGCUCACCCCAAACACUUUCUUGGCUCCUGCUUUGGCAGCAAACAUGGAAAGGAUCCCGGUACCACUCCCAACGUCCAGCACCACUUUGUCCUUGAACACAUGCUUAUUGUGGUACAUGGAGUUCCGGUAGGUGAGUGUCCGCACCUCAUCCUUCAGCAUUUCCUGUGGAAGGAAAGGAAAGGCCGUGUCAGUGUAUUCAAGCCACCUGGGAGUACACCGAGGUCAUGGACCUCAAAACCCCAGGACUGUUCUGCCAAAUUUUUCAAGAAUCUCAAUAAUGGGUGCACCUGGCUGACUCAGUCACUGGAGCAUGGAACCCUUGAUCUUGGAGUUGUGAGUUUGAGCCCUGUGUUGGGUAUAGAGAGAGCUUAAAAAUAAAAUCUUAAAUUAAAAAAAAAAACCCCUCAAUGAUGUAGGUAGGCCAUAGGAGAGUAUUGUAGGACAGCUGGACUAGGGGCUACCUACAUACUUACAAACAACUCCAGCCUUAAAACUCUACCCAGGAAAGAUAAUUUUGUUCUAUAAGAGGAGAAAUGCAUGUCCAGCAUUGGGAAAGCUUCCAUCUCCCAAAGAACAAAAAGAAACAUGAGUGCAAUGCAACUUGAGGGAUUUAAAUUAAACCUGAAACAGAAUGUUCUGCAACAGUGAUAGAACUGUCAUCAAACAGGUUGUUAAAGGAGGUUUGUGGUCUCUCCGUGUGCGUGUGUGUAUGUGCAUACUCUUCUUGUUUGCUUUUUUUAAAAGAAUGGAAAACAUAUUUCUUUAUCCACCACUAUUUAAGUCCUUUGUGACCAAAAAGAAAGUAGGUUACCCCUUACAACUGUCUCCAACCUAAGGAAAAUAUGAUUAAUUUGCAAAUAGUGGUGAGGCAGGGAUCUUUUUCCAUUCAAAUUGUCAGCAAACACUUCUUCUUCUUCUCCUUCAUCUCCUUCUUCUCCUUCUCCUCCUCUCCUCCUCUCCUCCUCCUC